GGCUACCAGGCAACUUGUCCAUCGUGCUUAUUCGACAGUCGCCUCAAGAGGCUUUCCCGAGUCGUUUCUUUCCUUUCAUUGUUUCUUCAAGAGUCGACAAUUACUCUUCUGAGGAAAGUCAUUUCCGGCAUAGUUUAGAAUACCCACCCACCACGUGAAAUUAAUCCACCAUGGAUGAAGUUGACUUUUCCACCGCUGGAGUUUGAGGAUCUGAAGGAUUUUGUGGCCCUCUUCUCUUUCAUCGCAGAAAAGCUUGCAAUCGCCAAAUGAGCACACGCCUGAUACACCAUGAUUCCAAUAUUCACGGGAAGACUGAUUUUCCUACAAAUUUCAUCCGAUUGCCGCUGAUCAUUAAAAAUUGAUUCAUUUUCUUUAUUUCCGCAAGACAAUGUUUUUUCUCCUGUGUUGUCCUCGAUAAACCAAUAAAAGUUCACAAUUCCUUUCCACAAA